CUUGAGAUGGUGAGCAAGUCAUUGUUGGUUUUUAAAUGUAUUGGUAAAAUUUCAGUUUCAAUGUUUUGGCAUACAAAUUAUUUUUAAUUGUAAAUGUAAUCAUCUAUCGUCAAGUAAGUAUUAUACAAUUGUUUAUUAGAUUUAUAGAUGGUUAAAUAUUACUGUUAAAUUGAUUUACAAGCGUUAGUUCUCUUUCAUUCUAUGUUGUAUCUCUGUUUAACCUGCCUUCAACUUUUUUCCCCUCUGUCUGUUUAUCUGUCUGCUACUAAUAGAGCUUGUUUUGUAAGCUAUAAUUUGGCGUCCAAAUGAUUUUUGUUUGUGUUUUUCUAAACAACGAGCAUUCGCAAAUGGUGUUAUCCCUCACUCAGGCUGUUCUGUAAACGAGCUGAAUUUUCAUCUUUUAUGUUUAAAAUGUUAGAUGAGUAAACUUCUUUCUCAGAAUGGAUACAAUAUCGGAACGACUGUAAAUUUUGUACAAGAAAAUUUGAAAAAGAAAUAAUUGGAUCGGGCGACUAACCAGAUGACAGAAUAUUUAAGUCACAGAAACUGAUGACAGACCAUGAAAUACGAUGGAAAUAAUUGUUUAUUUCUUAUUGAGGUUAACUAACGUCUAAUGUAUUGAUUUAAACAAUCACCAAAUAAAUGACUGACUGACCAUUCUGAGAUGGCUAAACAUAGCGGGAAAUUACUUGGUCUUUUUGAUCUACACGAGCGCUAGGUCGUUUAAACAUACACCGUAUAAACAUAUUGCUCUGUACAAGAACCUUUGUUCCAAGAUCAUUUCUCAUGGAUGACAGUCAAAAAAGAGCUCCACCAAAGAACUAAGAUACUGAUCUUCACCUUCUGUUUUUCGUCUCAUCAUCAUAUUCUUGCAUAUAUUUUCACUUUACUCAGUUUUGUUUGCCACCGAUCAAUUCUGACAGUUGAUGGGUUAUUUUGGCUUAUAAUAGGAUUGAUUAGUAUUAUGCCUAUCUGUUGCGCCUGGAUCAUUUAUUGCUUCAUCAACUCAAUUUCAAACAGCUAUGUGGUAAAGAUUUAACUGAAUGGAAAAAAAUUGAACCAAGAUCAAUUAUCAGUUGGGACAACUGUCUGAAUCAAUCAUCUAUGGAUUUAUAUCUACAACUUUAUCUAUGGCUGUGUAAUUAAAACAAAUAGUCUUUCGUCAUGUCUGGUUUCAUUGGAUGUGAUAUUGGUUCUCGCUUUUUGCGCUCAAUCUGAAGAAAAGCCUUGUGUAUUAUGAUUGCCAGUUGCUCUCUGUUAACAGUUCAUGGAUAAGAAAGAGCUGCUGUUGUUUUAUUUUUGGGUUAAACAUAAACUUAUUCAGGAAGACUUUUUUUCUCGCCAGAAGAGUUAUAAAUGGAUCGACUCAAUGUUUUUCUUUCCCAUUAUAAUGGCUUCAAGAGGAUAAAGGAAAGAUAGUGAUACCCACCCCCGACUUUAAACUAAAAGUAAAGGAGUAUGAUGCUGAAAGAUGCAAACUUUUGUUGAUUUAUCUUUUAUGACAAGUCUAACAACGAAAAGCAGUUGACUUUGACGAUAAACAUACGCAAGUUCUUUCCGUUAACCCGCUAAUUCUCCAGCCUCAUCCUUUUUGUUUUCACAAUUUGCCAAAAUUUGGCUCUGAAUGUGUUUUAGUUUAACCCUGUUCCAAUUCAUGGUCAGGUGUUACUUGAUAAGGACCACUUCCAAUGAAAGUGAAAAACAGCAUAACAACUGUAGUAACGGUUCUACUUUGAAAGAUUGGGACAAAUCUUUCUUGACCUGAUCUGACAUCUUGAAAAAAUAUUGGCAAUGACUCGGUUGCUGCAAUGUAUUGAAAGCUUGCACUCUAAGAUUGAAAAGUGAAGAAGAGUAACUGAGGUAAUCCAAUAUUCAUCUGAAACAAUUUUAAACCAUGACAAUAGUUACAUUUAAUCACCUGAUGCUAAAUAGGCAAUUAGCAACAUUACCAAUAUACAUAUUAACAGUAUUAUUACCACUGAAAAACCAUAACUUUAAGAAUAAUGUUAAGCUUAUUUCCUUCUUCAUUUAUCCAGUAAUACUCAAAUUAUAGCUUAACGCUUGUUUUCUGGAUAUUUUUCUGGUUUUGCUUCAUUUUUCUGUUAAUUUUUUGAUCUCAAUCCAAUUCUCUGUUUAUAUUAAUUUGUUCCUCUUUUUCGCCCACUACAAAAACAAUGCUGAAUCUUUCACAAUUUUGCUUACGCUAACUUUUUCCUCGUUUACUUUUGCUUGAUAUCUCUAGGUAAUGAAUAAAUGGAUCCAGUUAAUGGUCAAGCAAAGUAAUCAACAAUAGCUGAACAUAUCGAAUAAAUUCAAGGUUUGGUGCAAAAGAUUCGACAUACAAUUAUCUGCAAUCUUUUUUACAAGCAAUAGAAGAAAAAACAAGUGUAAAUGAUUUUACUCAAUUACUGUCAUAUAAUCAGCUUUGGUAAUUAACUGGUAACAAUAUACAUUGGCAGCUUAAGCUUUUCAUAAAUCUGCGUGAAUAUAAAUGGCAAUUUGACUGCCUCACAUAACAAAUGUCAUUAGUAACAGAGUAUCAAUCAAAAGCAAAUUAGACAAAACAAUGAGGUGGCGAAGUUAGACUUACAUGAGUUAGAAAAACGACUUGAAAUACUAAAUUUUAAACAUCAAAUUGUUUCUUGGUUUAUUGGUGUAUCAAUAGAAUUCUGAUAUAAGAUUCGUUAUCGUCAACUUGAAAAUUAUCAAAACCGUUGGAAUAAUUUUGAACAAUUGAU